ACAUAUAAGAACUUCAAAGUAAAUAAAGUGAGAUAUGCAAUUCAAGUCAAGACAAUAACAAGCAAGAGUCUAUAUCUAGUAUUGAAUUUAGCAAAGAACAUAAAGGUGCAAGAGCUCUCGUUGUCUGUGACUCGAAUGUCUCCAAAUGGUGUUUGCGUGCAAGAAGUGGGAGAUUGGUUGAGAUCAUAAAAUAUUAUUUUUUAAUUGAGAACUCAAUCUACUAAACCUCACACUUAGUCUCCUUCUGAAUCUUAUUUUGACACAUCCCGAGACCACUAGUCAGGCACAAGUCAAAAUGA
rnacentral:lncRNA from 1 species